rnacentral:rRNA from 1 species
GACGAACGCUGGCGGCGUGCUUAACACAUGCAAGUCGAGCGAGAAACCUUCGGGUUUCUAGCGGCGGACGGGUGAGUAACACGUGGGUAACCUGCCUCAAAGAGGGGGAUAGCCUUCCGAAAGGAAGAUUAAUACCGCAUAACAUUUUAGCUUCGCAUGAAGUUAAAAUUAAAGGAGUAAUCCGCUUUGAGAUGGACCCGCGGCGCAUUAGCUAGUUGGAGAGGUAACGGCUCACCAAGGCAACGAUGCGUAGCCGACCUGAGAGGGUGAUGGCCACAUUGGAACUGAGACACAGUCCAGACUCCUACGGGAGGCAGCAGUGGGGAACAUUGCACAAUGGGCGAAAGCCUGAUGCAGCAACGCCGCGUGAGUGAUGAAGGUCUUCGGAUUGUAAAGCUCUGUCUUUUGGGAGGAUAAUGACGGUACCAAAGGAGGAAGCCACGGCUAACUACGUGCCAGCCGCCGCCGUAA